rnacentral:rRNA from 1 species
AGUGAACGCUGGCGGUAGGCCUAACACAUGCAAGUCGAACGGCAGCACAGUAAGAGCUUGCUCUUACGGGUGGCGAGUGGCGGACGGGUGAGGAAUACAUCGGAAUCUACUUUUUCGUGGGGGAUAACGUAGGGAAACUUACGCUAAUACCGCAUACGACCUACGGGUGAAAGCAGGGGAUCUUCGGACCUUGCGCGAUUGAAUGAGCCGAUGUCGGAUUAGCUAGUUGGCGGGGUAAAGGCCCACCAAGGCGACGAUCCGUAGCUGGUCUGAGAGGAUGAUCAGCCACACUGGAACUGAGACACGGUCCAGACUCCUACGGGAGGGAGCAGUGGGGAAUAUUGGACAAUGGGCGGAAGCCUGAUCCAGCCAUACCGCGUGGGUGGAGGAGGCCUUCGGGUUGUAAAGCCCUUUUGUUGGGAAAGAAAAGCCGCCGGUUAAUACCCCGCUGUUCUGACGGUACCCAAAGAAUAAGCACCGGCUAACUUCGUG